ensembl:lncRNA
GAAGGGGGUGGAGCGCUGCGCAGCGCGCGUGCGCACUGACGGGAAGUGGGCGAGGCGGAAGUGGGGGCGCCAUUUUGUGGGCGGUGUCGCCGCCAUUUUGUGGGCGGUGCCAUUUUGUGGGCGCCGAUGGGAAAUGGAGUCCGCGUUCCGUUUUGGGGUAAAAGUGAGGAAAAAUGGGUCUGCGGUUUGUGUUUGUGGCACGAAGGAGGGGAAAUGGGGACUCCUCCCUACGUUUUGCUGUAUAAAUGAGGGGAAAAUGGGGCCCUUCGUUCAUUUUUGGGGAUGUAAAUGAGGUAAAAGGGGGUCCCGGGUACAACUUUCUGUGUAAAACUGAGAGUAGAAGUGGUCCCAUUACCAUUUUUUUUCAGUAAAAUUGUGGGAAAUAGGGGAAAUUUAGAGUAAAACCGAGAGGAAAUGAACGGUGUUGUUCCAUUUCUUGGGAAUGUGAGGAAAAAUUGGGGGGUCCGGGACGUUUUGGGGGCAAAAAAAAAAAAAAAAUGAUGGAAAAGUGGAACAAAAUGUUGAUUUUCGGGGUAGAGAUAAGGGGAAAUUGGGUUUUCCCGUUUCAUUUUGGGGUAAAACUGAGGGAAAAUUGGGGACCUCCAUUCAUUUUUGGGGGUAUAAAUGAGGGGGGGGGGGGGGGGGGGGGAAGUGUUUCCAUGUCCGUUUCGGGGUAUAAAUGAACAAAACGAGGUCCUGAGUCCUCAUUUUUGGGUCCCCAAUCCAUUUUUGGGUGUAAAUGGGGGAAAAUUGGGUUCCGUGGUUCAUUUUGGGGUGAAACUGAGGGAAAAGGGACCCAUUUCUGGGAUAAAACUGAGGGGAAAGGAGGUCCCCAAGCUCAAAUUUGGGGGUAAAAAUGGGGAAAAGGGGGUUCUCGACAACAUUUUGGGGUAAAACUGAGGGAAAUUGGGGUCCCAUGAUUGUGUUCAGUGAUACAAGUGAGAAAAUGUUGGGGUCUCCUCUCUUUUUUGGGGGAUAUAAAUGGGGAGAGUGUGCUUUUUUGAGGGUACAACCAAAGGAAAUUGGGUCCCCAGAGCACUUUUUGGGGUACAACUGAUGAAAAUGGGGUCCCCAGAGCCCUUUUUGGGGGUACAACCGAAGGAAAUGGGGUCCCCAGGCCCCUUUUUGGGGUACAACUGAUAAAAAUGGAGUUCCCAAAGCACUUUUUGGGGUACAACCGAAGGAAUUGGGGUCCCCACACCACUUCUUGGGUACAACUGAAGGAAAUGGGGUCCUCAGACCCCUUUUUGGGAUACAACCGAAGGAAUUGGGGCCCCCAGGCCCCUUUUUGGGGUACAGCCAUGAGAAAUGGG